UGCUAAAGGAAGAUUUUUAGGUUGAAUGAAAAGGAUAUUGAAUAGAAACUUGGACUUAUAAGAGUUUCAGAAAUGGUAAACUCCUCCAGGGCAGGACCUGACUCUUCAGAGGAAUUUUUUAAUCCCCCUCCCCAGAAGUGCCCACGUCAAGGCCAUAGUAGAGAAGGAGCUCAAGAGCAAUCCCUAAGCAACCACGCUUGGAAGCAUCCUGCAACAGAGGGAUUUGUUCCAGACUCAGAUUUAAUCCACUAUUACCUUUUCGUAAGACAAGUGUUGUCUGAAGGAGUCUGUGUGUAAUUUUGAGACAAAAGGAUUGCAGAACUCAGCUCCCAGGUUGUCUCAUAUCUGAUUCUUCGAAAGAGGAAAAGAAGCGAACUCUUCUGCACAAUAGCUGAGCAGAUAGGAGAGAAAAAGCUUGAAGAUUCACAGUGGAGCAAGGCUAAUUGGAGCCUUCCUCAGAGCAGCUCAACUAUCCCAGUUUUACCUAUCCCAUUCCUUGCCAUUCCC
rnacentral:lncRNA from 10 species